UUGGUCCUCGUUCACAAUUAAUAUUGGAACUGACAAAACAGUUUGUUUUCAAAGUAUAGAUAUGAAUAGACAGUAUUCUCAAGAUAAGAAACGGUUAAAAGCAAAAACAGGUGUAUUGGUGUACUACAUUAUUUGUAUACAUUUUAAGUGAAGAGUAAAUUAUUUCCUUCACAUGUACAAUAAUACGUUAGUUCUCAAGGGAAAUACACAAAAUUUCUCUCCAAUAAACUGAAGAUAUUGAUCCCACUAUGCUAAGCUUACAGUGAAAAUGAACUCUUUCUUGUAAUUAUGGCGCCCUUUGCUCAACAUAGGACCCAGAAAGGCCAGAUGUGCCAAGAACUGAAACCUGCAAUCAAGAACCACAAAAUUACUAUUUAUAUAAGGAGCAUACAGGCACAUAUGAAGCAAGCCAAUAUAUGUGUAUGCUAAAUGUGGACAACCUUCCAAGAGAAACUUUCGCACAAAACCUUUUAGUAUAACAUGCCCGGAGAUAAUCCUAGAAGGCAGGUAAUAAGAUAUACUAACCAUCCAUUUGACAAGUCUUGGGGUGCAGAAGACUACACAUCCUUCUGAAAAAUCCAAAAGAAUAUUCAGAGACUAUUGGAUAAUCAGAUAAAUUCAGUUUUACAUCCAUUUCACACCCUGGCUUUUGUAAACAAGGACUCCUACCCAAAGUCGGCUAGCUAACAAAAUCAAAUGUCGUGUUUAGUUUGAAAUAAUAAAAUUGACUCGCCAAAACAGGCACAACAUACAAAUAUGUAACCUUAUGCAUGUGUUAAAAAAAAUUGGCACUUACUAACUAUUGGUGGGGCUGACCUCUACUUUGAAAAGUAAAUUUACCAAGGGUGAAAUGAUCACUUUCACCAAAGUGCCUAAGUAAUUCAGUUUUUUUUUUUAU
rnacentral:lncRNA from 1 species